UUACGGCCAAACCACGUUGAAACACCGGGUCCCGUACAAUCCCCGACGUUUAAGCAACGUCGAGCCUGGUCAGUAACUAGAUGGGUGACUGCUUGGAAAUACCAGCUGUUGUAA